rfam:Enhygromyxa salina strain DSM 15201 ES-Contig_44, whole genome shotgun sequence.
GCACCCAUAGCUCAGCUGGAUAGAGCAUCGGCCUUCUAAGCCGAAUGGCCCAGGUUCGAGCCCUGGUGGGUGCA